rnacentral:lncRNA from 1 species
CUGCAUGUGUGUAUCAACGACAUGACGUUUUACAAAUACGCAAAUCGAUACUUGUUCUGAAAGGACCGUUUUCGAUUUUGUAUAAUAGAAGUAGGUGAACUAUACAGCAAAUAUAUAUAUGAAAAAAGAUGAGGUAAAUGUAUGAGUGCCAAAUGCGAUAUCUGUCCACCCAAGAUACAAUCUGUUAAAAGUAAGCAAUCAUUAUUUCAACGCU